GCUGCGAUGGCCGAGUGGUUAAGGCAUUGGGGUCGAAAAUGAUGGGAUAUUCCCGCGCAGGUUCGAAUCCUGUUCGCAGCG
rfam:Ciona savignyi cont_10663, whole genome shotgun sequence.